rnacentral:misc_RNA from 1 species
AACAAGGCGUACCUGCGGACCUGCGGAGGGAUCAUUACUGAGUCACGUGCUCAAACAACCCUUCUGUGGACCUGAAAUAAAACCGUUGCCUCGGCGGGCGGUCCCCCCCCAAACCAACCCCACGUGGUGGGUUAGGGGAGACCAGACAGUCCGGUACGCUUAAGGCGUCCGGCGCCAGCCGCUGGCCCCAAACAAUUAAACUCUAGUAAUCUUUACCUUCUGAGUUUCAAUAUUUAAAAA